rnacentral:rRNA from 1 species
UGGUGCCAGCAGCCGCGGUAAUUCCAGCUCCAAUAGCGUAUAUUAAAGUUGUUGCAGUUAAAAAGCUCGUAGUUGAAUUUCGGGGUUAGUAGGUUGGUCAUGCCUCUGGUAUGUACUGGUCUCACUGAUUCCUCCUCCCUUAUGAACCGUAAUGCCAUUAAUUUGGUGUUGCGGGGAAUUUGGACUGUUACUUUGAAAAAAUUAGAGUGUUUAAAGCAAGCUAACGCUUGAAUACAUUAGCAUGGAAUAAUGAAAUAGGACGUUCGAUCUUAUUUUGUUGGUUUCUAGGAUUGACGUAAUGAUUAAUAGGGAUAGUUGGGGGCAUUAGUAUUCAAUUGUCAGAGGUGAAAUUCUUGGAUUUAUUGAAGACUAACUACUGCGAAAGCAUUUGCCAAGGAUGUUUUCAUUAAUCAAGAACGAAAGUUAGGGGAUCGAAGACGAUCAGAUACCGUCGUAGUCUUAACCAUAAACUAUGCCGACUAGGGA